GUGAGGAAUAUUGGUCAAUGGGCGCAAGCCUGAACCAGCCAUGCCGCGUGCAGGAAGACGCAUCUAUGGUGUGUAAACUGCUUUUGUACGGGAAGAAACCACUCUAUGUAUAGAGUCUUGACGGUACCGUAAGAAUAAGGAUCGGCUAACUCCGUGCCAGCAGCCGCGGUAAUACGGAGGAUCCAAGCGUUAUCCGGAAUCAUUGGGUUUAAAGGGUCCGUAGGCGGCUUAAUAAGUCAGCGGUGAAAGUUUUUGGCUUAACCAAAAAAUUGCCAUUGAUACUGUUAGGCUUGAAUUUUUGUGAAGUAACUAGAAUAUGUAGUGUAGCGGUGAAAUGCUUAGAUAUUACAUGGAAUACCAAUUGCGAAGGCAGGUUACUAACAAACGAUUGACGCUGAUGGACGAAAGCGUGGGUAGCGA
rnacentral:rRNA from 1 species